rnacentral:rRNA from 1 species
UACAGGGGGUGCAAGCGUUGUUCGGAAUUACUGGGCGUAAAGGGUCUGUAGGUGGCUUGCUAAGUCAGACGUGAAAUCCCUCAGCUUAACUGGGGAACUGCGUCUGAUACUGGCGAGCUUGAGUGCAGGAGAGGAACGCGGAAUUCCAGGUGUAGCGGUGAAAUGCGUAGAUAUCUGGAGGAACACCGGUGGCGAAGGCGGCGUUCUGGACUGCAACUGACACUGAGAGACGAAAGCCAGGGGAGCAAACGGG